CGCCGGCACAAGGCCAUGCGAUUCGCUCAGUUAUUAUGAAUCAUCAAUGAACCAGGAGGCGUGAACCCCCUGCAUUGGUUUUUUAUCUAAUAAAUGCGGGGAUUCCACGAGAGUUUCCCCUUUUAGCAUGUAUUAGCUCUAGAAUUACUACGGUUAUCCAAGUAGUAGGUAUUAUCAAAUAAACUAUAACUGAUUUAAUGAGCCAUUCGCAGUUUCACCGUAUAAAUUGGUUUAUACUUAGACAUGCAUGGCUUAGUCUUUAAGACAAGCAUAUGUUACUGGCAGGAUCAACC
rnacentral:rRNA from 1 species